rnacentral:misc_RNA from 1 species
UAGAAGUUCUUGGCAUAAUUCCUUUUUUUCUAGGUGAGAUGCAAAACCAGGGACCUAUGAUCUGAUGCACCAAAAUUUCCAGGCAAAAGAUGACACUGAGGAUACAGAAGUCUCCAUUCUAGAUUAAUAAGUGCUUUAUCAAUGUGCUCAAAAAUUCUAUCCGCACCAUUCUGCUUAUAUGUCUAAGUAAAUCUAUUACCAAUGAAAAACAUCUCUUCCAAUCCCUUAUUAAAAGAAAGUCAUGGAAAGCCCCAACAAGAUGAGGAUUAAUAUUUCUUCUUCCUUUCUUGUCCAGAGGUGAACUACAGAUAUUGAAGUCCCUAAUAAUUAGCCAUGGA